UUUUGAAGGAAGCAUGGUAAGGUGCAUAGAGAUGAAAUGCAAGGUCCAAAAUGUCUGCUCACUUCGAUGCUUUGUGGCUUUGAUUACACGAGCCUAGAUAUGACCUAUAUUU
rnacentral:snoRNA from 1 species